rnacentral:rRNA from 1 species
GACGAACGCUGGCGGCGUGCUUAACACAUGCAAGUCGAACGGAAAGGCCCUGCUUUUGUGGGGUGCUCGAGUGGCGAACGGGUGAGUAACACGUGAGUAACCUGCCCUUGACUUUGGGAUAACUUCAGGAAACUGGGGCUAAUACCGGAUAGGAGCUCCUGCUGCAUGGUGGGGGUUGGAAAGUUUCGGCGGUUGGGGAUGGACUCGCGGCUUAUCAGCUUGUUGGUGGGGUAGUGGCUUACCAAGGCUUUGACGGGUAGCCGGCCUGAGAGGGUGACCGGCCACAUUGGGACUAAGAUACGGCCCAGACUCCUACGGGAGGCAGCAGUGGGGAAUAUUGCACAAUGGGCGGAAGCCUGAUACAGCAGCGCCGCGUGCGGGAUGACGGCCUUCGGGUUGUAAACCGCUUUCGCCUGUGACGAAGCGUUAGUGACGGUAAUGGGUAAAGAAGCACCGGCUAACUACGUG